UUGGAAAUGAUGCAUUACCACAUCUGAUUCUCCAUGAUGGUGUUUGUAUUCAUACUGUCUGAUCCAG